rnacentral:rRNA from 1 species
GAUGAACGCUGGCGGCGUGCUUAACACAUGCAAGUCGAACGGUGAACGAGGGAGCUUGCUCCCUCCGGAUCAGUGGCGAACGGGUGAGUAACACGUGAGCAAUCUGCCCUGGACUCUGGGAUAAGCGUUGGAAACGGCGUCUAAUACCGGAUACGAGGCGUGGGGGCAUCCCCAACGCCUGGAAAGAACUUCGGUCCAGGAUGAGCUCGCGGCCUAUCAGGUAGUUGGUGAGGUAAUGGCUCACCAAGCCUACGACGGGUAGCCGGCCUGAGAGGGUGACCGGCCACACUGGGACUGAGACACGGCCCAGACUCCUACGGGAGGCAGCAGUGGGGAAUAAUGCACAAUGGGCGAAAGCCUGAUGCAGCAACGCCGCGUGAGGGACGACGGCCUUCGGGUUGUAAACCUCUUUUAGCAGGGAAGAAGCGAAAGUGACGGUACCUGCAGAAAAAGCACCGGCUAACUACGUGCCAGCCGCCGCAGUAAAAC